CUUUUCCAGACUCAUGAUCACAGCAACAAAUUUCUAAAAUGGAGGCGGAAACAGCGGUGGCCGCGAUUCUCGGAAGGCUGGGGCGUCAUUGCUAUGCGGUGUUGUGUUUGGGAGUGCUUCUUUUGACGGUGGCCCUCGUUCACUACGUCGGCGACGGAGAACCGACCGAUCCUCGGGAGCGGAGCAAGCGCCGGCUUCGAGCCUUGCAGGGCCCGCCCAUUCGUGGCGGAGAUGGCGGCCGACUGCCGCAUGCGGUGGUGAAUUCAAGCGCCUAAGGGGCGGGCUAGG
rnacentral:misc_RNA from 1 species